rnacentral:misc_RNA from 1 species
UCCCCGUUAUCCGGGGCGGUUUCGCUAGAGUGCCCGGCUUGACCCGCUGGCAACUAACGAUAAGGGUUGCGCUCGUUGCGGGACUUAACCCAACAUCUCACGACACGAGCUGACGACAGCCAUGCAGCACCUCCACAGCAGUUCUUGCGAAAAGGGAUAUUUCUACCCCGGUCCACUGUGCAUGUCAAACCCAGGUAAGGUUCUUCGCGUUGCAUCGAAUUAAUCCACAUGCUCCGCCGCUUGUGCGGGCCCCCGUCAAUUUCUUUGAGUUUUAGCCUUGCGGCCGUACUCCCCAGGCGGGGUACUUAAUGCGUUAGCUACGGCACGGAUCCCAAGGAAGGAAACCCACACCUAGUACCCACCGUUUACGGCGUGGACUAC